CGGUUUGCCUGGCGUUUUGGCUGUUAAGUUUGGUGAUGUUGGCCUCUCUAAGGAGUGUGUCCAAUAAACAGUACAUUCACUGAUCUUUGUCAACUUUUUAAGAAAAUAACAGAAUAUGAAGAAGGAAGACUACAUAUAGGAUCUAUCUACUUCAUAACUGGAAAAAGAGAAGCAGUUCACAAAUGUUGCUGAGCAGAAGACAAGAAACUCUGGCUGCACAAAAAUCUGAGCUCUUGAAAAAGAAAGAAAAAAAGAAAUGAAAAUAUGAAUGAUAUUCAAUCAAAGGAUCCAAAUGAUGAAAUUCUGGAAA